AGCAGCCGCGGUAAUUCCAGCUCCAAUAGCGUAUAUUAAAGUUGUUGCAGUUAAAAGCUCGUAGUUGAAUUUCGGGGUUAGCAGGUCGGUCGUGCCAUCGGUAUGAACUGGUCUCGCUGAUCCCUCCCUCUUGACGAACUGUGAUGCCAUUAAUUUGGUGUCGCAGGGAAUCAGGACUGUUACUUUGAAAAAUUAGAGUGUUUAAAGCAGGCUCACGCUUGAAUACAUUAGCAUGGAAUAAUGAAAUAGGACGUUUGAUCCUAUUUUGUUGGCUUCUAGGAUUGACGUAAUGAUUAAUAGGGAUAGUUGGGGGCAUUAGUAUUCAAUUGUCAGAGGUGAAAUCCUUGGAUUUAUUGAAGACUAACUACUGCGAAAGCAUUUGCCAAGGAUGUUUUCAUUAAUCAAGAACGAAAGUUAGGGAUCGAAGACGAUCAGAUACCGUCGUAGUCUUAACCAUAAACUAUGCCGACUAGGGAUCGGAUGAUGUUAAUUUUUAAUGACU
rnacentral:misc_RNA from 1 species